UACGUAGGGGGCAAGCGUUGUUCGGAUUUACUGGGCGUAAAGGGCGCGUAGGCGGCGCGGUAAGUCACUUGUGAAAUCUCUGAGCUUAACUCAGAACGGCCAAGUGAUACUGCAGUGCUAGAGUGCAGAAAGGGCAAUCGGAAUUCUUGGGGUAGCGGUGAAAUGCGUAGAUAUCAAGAGGAACACCUGAGGCGAAGGCGGGUUGCUAGGCUGACACUGACGCUGAGUGCGCGAAAGCCAGGGGAGCAAACGGG
rnacentral:rRNA from 1 species